AACGAACGCUGGCGGCAGGCCUAACACAUGCAAGUCGAACGCUGUAGCAAUACAGAGUGGCAGACGGGUGAGUAACGCGUGGGAACGUGCCCUUUGGUUCGGAAUAACCCAGGGAAACUUGGGCUAAUACCGGAUACGUCCGUAAGGAGAAAGAUUUAUCGCCAAAGGAUCGGCCCGCGUCGGAUUAGCUAGUUGGUGAGGUAAAGGCUCACCAAGGCGACGAUCCGUAGCCGUGU
rnacentral:rRNA from 1 species